CCAGAAUGACUAAAAUACGUCACAUCCGCCUGGGGAGCGUCCACUUUAACACACAGCCGGUGAGAGAGAAGAUUUACAAGAGAAGACGUGGAAAAAGUCAAGGAACAAGAAAGGUAAAUAUAAUUGUUGUGUUUUUUAAACCCUCGUGUAGUGGAUAUGUGACGUGUAUGGAUGUUUAUGCACUAAAUGACGAACAUUAGGGUUACAUGUGUGAUCGUGCAGACCUUCCAGCGAGGCUCAGCCUGCAGUGGCUCUGAUCUUUCCUUCAAUGUCUGCUAGAGAGACGUGAGGCCGUUUGAGGCCCUGCUGUGUGCUCCUCAUGGCAGGGUUAUAGGAUGCAGAUGAAGGAUGGUGUGUCUCCGCUCAGAGCUCCUGACUGACAUCUGAGGCUCCUCAAUGACUUCAGGAUGCAGAUGAAGGAUGGUGUGUCUCCGCUCAGAGCUCCUGACUGACAUCUGAUGCUCCUCAAUGACUUCAGGAUGCAGAUGAAGGAUGGUGUGUCUCUGCUCAGAGCUCCUGACUGACAUCUGAGGCUCCUCAGUGACUUAAGGAUGCAGAUGAAGGAUGGUGUGUCUCCGCUCAGAGCUCCUGACUGACAUCUGAUGCUCCUCAAUGACUUCAGGAGUGAUUAAUUCAGCUCUGUGAUCAGCGGCUGCAGACGUCGGGCAUGUUGAACGUCUCUCUGGAGACUUCCUGACAGCCCCAAAAAGACUUGAUGUGUCCGUAACCGUGACGACUGAUGUUAACUGUGAUCUUCAGGAUUAUCUCCAGCAACCAGACUUUGACCCAGAUUUUUCCUGCGAGUCAAGGAACCGGCUCGUCUGCUGUUUGGCUGUCUGACAGUCAGAUCAUGUGGUUUUGUGUCAUUGGCACACUUUUGGAAAAGGUGACUCAUGUAAUGUGUAUUUAUAAGUAAUAACAGAAUGACGCAAUGUGGAAAUAAACAUCUGAAACAAA